rnacentral:lncRNA from 1 species
AGAUGAUAGUCUUAGCUAGUCCCAUGGUUAUUAGGGGGUCUCGUUAAGACCUCUUAGUGAAGGGUUUUGUCCAUGCUAGUCUCCUUUAGUCUAAUUAAUGUUAGUCUCAGCAUAGAAUAAAUACAGUAUUGGACUAACAGCUAGUCCAGUCCAGUCCAGUCCCACUUAAUAAGGGCAAACAAACGCCCCCUUAGUUCAUCCAAAGUCAUUGUCCCAGCACCUCCACCAAACAUAUACCUGUAAUUAAUGUUUUCAUUUGUAAUCCAAUUCCCCUUAAACUUAAAUAACAACCCUUACUAAACUAAUAAUACCUAAUCUAUUAGUUUGAUAUGUUUGAAAGCUUUAAUUCUCUAAUUCCUUAAUUUUGAGUUCAAUUAGUUUAAACUACAUACCUUCUUCUUUUUUUUCUCUCUUUUUUCUUCUUUUUUUUUUGUAAAAAAAAAAAACUACAGACCUUUGACGUUUCUAGAUUUAAUCAUACCAGGAAAAUUAUUUGAUAUAGUUCAAGAAAUGGAGUGCUUUAUAUAAGGGUCUACAAGACUACAAUUACAAUUUGGUACGUGAUAUAUCCUGAUAUUUGCAUUGCCCUUGUAUUAUGGUAAUUAGUAAACUACAUGGAUUUAGCUUUAUGUAUAUUGUUGUCAUCUAUAUGGCUUGUUUGGAAAUAUUUUUAAAAUGAUUGAAAGCAUUUUUAAAUAAAUUGAUUUUGGGUUCCAAAAUUUUACUAAAUAUUGGUUUUAAAAAUAUUUUACCAAAAACACUUUUCUAGAAUCCACUUAAAUUUUUACUAUAAAUUGGUUUUAAAAAUAUUUCACCAAAACGCUUUAAAUUAUUUUAAAAGCACUUUUAACAAGUCCAUAAUUAUUAGAAAUUAUAUAGAUACAAUCACAUGCAAAUAUAAUUUCUAUAUAUAUUGAUGUCAUGGGAAUAAGUAUGAUAUUAUAAUUUGUAAUACCUAAGCCCUUUUUGGAGUGUUUCAGUAAGUUAAUCUCAUUUUUCACAUCUUAUAUAUUAUAAUUUUUAGGGAGAUUUAAUAAAAAGGGUUUGAAUUAAGUUUAAUUUAACUAAAAAUUACCCUAAAUUCUUAUUUAACCAAAAAGGCUUUAUAUUUAAUUAAAAGGACAAAACUAACAUAUAUUAGGCCCUACAAACAUAAAAAGAUAUGGGCUGAAUUAAAAGCCCAACACGCAAUAAAAUAUCUUUCCGACCCAUGCCCCUGACAGAAACUCAUUCCGUUAAAAGUGAACUUCCUUUUAUUUACAUGACACAUCACGACCGAAGUCAAGGCAUGCUAGCCAUCACCCGAAGGUGACAUAACCAAAAAGGGAAGUGAAGCAUAAAAAUAUGGAUAACUUACCAAAACUAACAUUCAUUUAAUAUAAAGUAGCGAGUGCAUAGUAAUGGGAAGAACCCAUAAAACAUCAGUGUUCAGAGCAUAUAUGACCUAAAAGUGUGCAAUUGAAACUAGAUAAAGAACUUAAUACACAUACGCUUUAUCUCUCCUCCGUGAGAGUCCCUCCUCAGUGUGGGUUUGUGUAAGAGAUCCUAUGUUUUUUCCUUAGCUCAGAUCCGCUCUAUCACCCGUCUCCCUAACCUUUACCUUUCCCUAGCUCUUUUUCACCAUCCUUUUUUCUCUCUCCGUAUUCAUUCCCUUUUCCUCUGAAUUAAUUCUCAGAUCUGUUUUGCUCAGCCUAACCCAACUACUUUUUUCCUCUCCGCUGCCCUGAUCUUCUUAAUCAACCCCCCAAUCCUAUACUUUGUGCUAGCUCAUUAAUUCUCAUGACCACCCUCUUUUCUUUUCAUUUCUCUCUCCGCUUUCAACCUUUCCUUUGAUUAAUUUUUCAGAUCCAUCUGUUCAAUCCCCCCACCUACCCUGUACUUCUUUUGCAAUUUUAAUUCAUCUUUCCCUAGUCCUGCUCUGGGUCAGAUCAAUAUCAUAGGGACGUUUGACAGGGAUGACAUAAGGGCGAAAAAGCAGACCUGUUUCCACCAGACACAAAGGUAUAAACAACUCUAAGGAGGAUAAAAGAACAAUCACGGGAAGGGGCGGAUC